UAGGGAAUCUUCCGCAAUGGACGCAAGUCUGACGGAGCACCGCCGCGUGAGUGAAGAAGGAGUUCGGUUCGUAAAACUCUGUUGUUAGAGAAGAACAGCGCAUAGAGUAACUGUUAUGCGUGUGACGGUAUCUAACCAGAAAGCCACGGCUAACUACGUGCCAGCAGCCGCGGUAAUACGUAGGUCCCGAGCGUUGUCCGGAUUUAUUGGGCGUAAAGCGAGCGCAGGCGGUUAGAUAAGUCUGAAGUUAAAGGCAGUGGCUCAACCAUUGUAGGCUUUGGAAACUGUUUAACGUGAGUGCAGAAGGGGGGAGGGGAAUUCCAUGUGUAGCGGUGAAAUGCGUAGAUAUAUGGAGGAACACCGGUGGCGAAAGCGGCUCUCUGGUCUGUAACUGACGCUGAGGCUCGAAAGCGUGGGGAGCGAACAGG
rnacentral:rRNA from 1 species